rnacentral:lncRNA from 1 species
UUUGUUACAGAAUGAACAAAUAUAGUGUGUUGAGUGUAUGUUCUGGGAGUCACUUCUCAAAUAACUAAAAAAUCCCUGAACUUUAGUCAAUUUCUACCAUGGCCCUAGACAUAACAAAUUGUUUCUAGUCUGUUGAGUGUAUGUUCUGUAGGUUAUGUUAGUAUGAGGCUAUUGUUUGUUCCUUUCCUUCACAAAUUAUAGUAGUAUCUGUUUUUAGUGUGUUCUGUAGGUUAUGUUAUCUAAUUUUUUGAGGCUAUUGUUUUGUUUUUAAAAAUUUCCUAACCUAUCCUCGUUGGUACAAAGGUUUUAGUAGUUGAAAAUCAUUGGUAUAUCUAACAUCUAGAUAUUGAAAAGUUACAUUUUGGCAACGUGAGAUGACAGGAUUUUGUUUUCAAUUUUUAAUUGCACUUCUUUUGGUCUGAUGGUUAUAAACAUAACUAUAUCUGUUUCUGCAUUUAGUUUAUAUUGUAAUAUACAUUGAUACCAUUUUCUUUCUAUAAUGAACUAUUACUUAUACCUUUGCAGAUUGGGAAUUUCCUUGCAAACAAUUUGCACAGGAACUGGCCUCGUGACUUAUAUGAAAGGAUUGCUCGAAGCUUGUGAUGUAAAUAUUGUAUCAUGCGUGGCUCCUGUCAAAUCUGGUCAAGCCUGUUCCUUUUGGCCUAGUUGUGGGCGGGUGAGUUACUUAGGAAAGACACUUUUGUUCUUCAGUUAAAUGUUCUCCCCACUGCGAUGCUAUGUAUAGCGGAGAAUAGAGUUGUAUUUGUCACACCACUUGUAUUGAAGGCUGGUGCUUUAUGCAUUAAUGUUGUGUAUCCUGAUGUUCUUUUAACUUGUAGCAAUGGAUACCAGAUCAACCCUGUACGUCUCAAGUGAAAUUCUUCUUUCAUUUCAUGUGAUAAUAAAAGCAUGGGAAAUUAUUUGAAAACUC